UACGAAGGGUGCAAGCGUUACUCGGAAUUACUGGGCGUAAAGCGUGCGUAGGUGGUUUUUUAAGUCCGUUGUGAAAGCCCUGGGCUCAACCUGGGAAUGGCAGUGGAUACUGGAAAGCUAGAGUGCGGUAGAGGGUAGUGGAAUUCCCGGUGUAGCAGUGAAAUGCGUAGAGAUCGGGAGGAACACCUGUGGCGAAAGCGGCUCACUGGACAGUAACUGACGCUGAUGCACGAAAGCUAGGGGAGCAAACAGG
rnacentral:rRNA from 1 species